AGUGAACGCUGGCGGUAGGCCUAACACAUGCAAGUCGAACGGCAGCACAGUAAGAGCUUGCUCUUACGGGUGGCGAGUGGCGGACGGGUGAGGAAUACAUCGGAAUCUACUUUUUCGUGGGGGAUAACGUAGGGAAACUUACGCUAAUACCGCAUACGACCUACGGGUGAAAGCAGGGGAUCUUCGGACCUUGCGCGAUUGAAUGAGCCGAUGUCGGAUUAGCUAGUUAGCGGGGUAAAGGCCCACCAAGGCGAUGAUCCGUAGCUGGUCUGAGAGGAUGAUCCGCCACCCUGGAACGGGACCACGGUCCAGACUCCUACGGGAGGCAGCAGUGGGGAAUAGUGGACAAUGGGCGCAAGCCUGAUCCAGCCAUACCGCGUGGGUGAAGAAGGCCUUCGGGUUGUAAAGCCCUUUUGUUGGGAAAGAAAAGCAGCAGGUUAAUACCCCGCUGUUCUGACGGUACCCAAAGAAUAAGCACCGGCUAACUUCGUG
rnacentral:rRNA from 1 species